rnacentral:misc_RNA from 1 species
GGUAGGUGUAAUUUGUGUUCGAAUAGUGAAGUGAGACAUGUUGUGACAUUUCUGUUCCUGCUCAAAUUUUUCAUUGAAACUGAAAAGGUUUAUUUAUAGUAUAUCUUUCAGGUGUUUCAAUUUUGAUAUUAGUUAAGUUGUCUUAUCCAAAUUUAUCAAAAUAAAUUAUGAAUUGAUAUUAUAAGUAAAUACUUGGGUAGCUCUUGCCGCGGAUUCUGUCAUGAUUGAGGUAAACACUGUCAAUUUAAAGAAUUGUGGAGGUGUGGGAAACAGUAAUGAUGAAAGUCAUGUUGUCAACGAGUAUAUUUCCAACAACAUCAAGGAUGAAAUAGAGAUUGACGAAAAACCAUUUCAGUUUCCCAUGGAGGAUAUUCCUUGUAAUAUUGCUGUUGGUUCAGUAAAGCAUAUUCAGAAUGAAGAUGUAAACGUUGGUGUUGCCAAUAUUAACUUUAAAGCUGAAGAUGUGAAGAAUAAGAUAGAUAUCAAUGAAGGAAUUCGCAUAAAAGAGGAACUCGAAUUCGUUAAGAAAGAGUUCUUGAAUGAAGAUGCAGUGGACCCACUCCUACCAAAGGUAGAAGCCGACAAUUUCCAUGAAAACGAAUCACUGCAGGAGGAGAAAGAAAAGGAUGGCAAAGAAGAAGGAGAAGAAGCAAAACAAGAUGAUGAUGAUGAUGAUUUCUCUGAUCACAUCAAGGAUGAAAUAGAGAUUGACGAAAAACCAUUUCAGUUUCCCAUGAAGGAUAUUCCUCGUAAUAUUGCUGUUGGUUCAGUAAAGCAUAAUAUUCAGAAUGAAGAUGUAAUUGUUGAUGAUGCCAAUAUUAACUGCAAAGCUGAAAAUGUGAAGAAUAAGAUAGAUAUCAAUGAAGGAAUUCGCAUAAAAGAGGAACUCGCAUUCGUCAAGAAAGAGUUCUUGAAUGAAGAUGCAGUGGACCCACUCCUACCAAAGUUGGCCAUGUGGCAGUUGUAAGUCUAUGCAGAUUGGAAGAUUUAGCCUCAGAUGUUGGACAGUCCUUGGAAGCUCAAUCGUCCAAUCAAGAUUACGAACCAUUAGUUGAAGGAGAAUCUAGUAACAGUUCAGAAGGAAGGCUGCAGUUGAGCUGUUUGAGAAAGUAUCGCAUCAAUAGAUCAGAGAGAGGAGGAGAUGCUGCCACCAUUCAAAAGUCCAAGCACAGGAACAUCAAAGCCUAUCAUUGCAG